rnacentral:rRNA from 1 species
UAAUAUGAGAGUUUGAUCCUGGCUCAGGACGAACGCUGGCGGCAUGCCUAAUACAUGCAAGUCGAACGAACCAUCCUGUUGAUUGAAGCUUGCUUCAUGAUUCAGAUUUUGGUGAGUGGCGGACGGGUGAGUAACACGUGGGUAACCUGCCCAAAAGUGGGGGAUAACAUUUGGAAACAAGUGCUAAUACCGCAUAACAACUACUUUCACAUGAUCGUAGCUUGAAAGAUGGCUCUGCUAUCGCUUUUGGAUGGACCCGCGGCGUAUUAGCU